AGGCUUGCACAGGUGCUGCAUGGCUGUCGUCAGCUCGUGUCGUGAGAUGUUCGGUUAAGUCCGCUAACGAGCGCAACCCUCACUGUGUGUUAUAUGUGUCACACGGACUGCCGGUUUUAAGCCGGAGGAAGGUGGGGAUGACGUCAAGUCAGCAUGGCCUUUAUAUCCUGGGCUACACACACGCUACAAUGGUCGGUACAAUAGGUUGCCAAGCCGCGAGGCGGAGCCAAUCCAUAAAAGCCGGCCUCAGUUCAGAUUGUAGGCUGCAACUCGCCUGCAUGAAGAUGGAGUUGCUAGUAACCGCAGGUCAGCAAUACUGCGGUGAAUACGUUCCCGGGUCUU
rnacentral:rRNA from 1 species